UACGUGGGGUGCAAGCGUUGUUCGGAAUUACUGGGCGUAAAGCGCGUGUAGGUGGCUAAUUAUGUCAGGUGUGAAAGCCCUCGGCCUAACCGAGGAAGUGCGCCUGAAACUGAUUGGCUUGAGUACGAGAGAGGAGGACGGAAUUCCCAGUGUAGAGGUGAAAUUCGUAGAUAUUGGGAGGAACACCGGCGGCGAAAGCGGUUCCCUGGAUCGAUACUGACACUAAGACGCGAAAGCGUGGGUAGCAAACAGG
rnacentral:rRNA from 1 species